rnacentral:tRNA from 1 species
GUUUUGGUGGCUAAAAUAAAAAGCGUCGGCCUUGUAAGUCGAAGACCGGAGGUGCAAAUCCUCCCCACAACA